CCUACGGGAGGCAGCAGUAGGGAAUCUUCCGCAAUGGACGAAAGUCUGACGGAGCAACGCCGCGUGAACGAUGAAGGCCUUCGGGUCGUAAAGUUCUGUUGUUAGGGAAGAACAAGUGCUAGUUAAAUAAGCUGGCACCUUGACGGUACCUAACCAGAAAGCCACGGCUAACUACGUGCCAGCAGCCGCGGUAAUACGUAGGUGGCAAGCGUUGUCCGGAAUUAUUGGGCGUAAAGCGCGCGCAGGCGGUUUCUUAAGUCUGAUGUGAAAGCCCCCGGCUCAACCGGGGAGGGUCAUUGGAAACUGGGAAACUUGAGUGCAGAAGGGGAAAGUGGAAUUCCAAGUGUAGCGGUGAAAUGCGUAGAGAUUUGGAGGAACACCAGUGGCGAAGGCGACUUUCUGGUCUGUAACUGACGCUGAGGCGCGAAAGCGUGGGGAGCAAACAGGAUUAGAUACCCUGGUAGUCCACGCUGUAAACGAUGAGUGCUAAGUGUUAGAGGGUUUCCGCCCUUUAGUGNUGAGUAACGUACAUAAGUACACUCCGCCGUCGGGAGGGUACGGUCGGCGAACGAACUAGAAACUAACAAAGGAAAGUUAGUACGGCGUGAGACGUCGCCGAACGGACGACCGACCGAACGGGGAAGGGUAAGGGAG
rnacentral:rRNA from 1 species